CUUGAGGUGAGGUGGCUGCAGGGUCGCUCGAGAAGAACAGGCUCAUCAGCACCACCUGGAUGCCUUCGUCAUCAGCAAUGUGGACAAGGUAAAGUGGGAUGGCGGGAUUGUAUAGUGCUCAUAAGCCAGUCCGGGCAUUGUCCUUCCUCGAAUGAAUCUGAGACUACUCCUCAUAUGUUAAUCAGUUGCUCCUCCCUAGCUUUGGUUUGGUCUGAACUUCAAAGUUUUCAUCCACUCAAUGUUGAUUCAGUCAAAGAUCUCUUGGAAAAAUUAUUUCGACAAGAUUCACUCUAUAAUGUUGUUAUCAUUGUCCUCUGGAAUAUAUGGAAGCGCAAAAACUCCAAGGUCUCCCGGGAUGUUUUUGAGGAAUUGCACAUUACUGCUAGCAAGAUUGCUGAUGAUUGAUACCAUGGUCCAACAGUUCUCAGUUUUAUGAAAUGGUUCAGGCUGGCGUAAGCCACCA